rnacentral:rRNA from 1 species
UGGCGACCGGCGCACAGGUGAGUAACACGUAUCCAACCUGCCGAUGACUCGGGGAUAGCCUUUCGAAAGAAAGAUUAAUACCCGAUGGCAUAGUUCUUCCGCAUGGUAGAACUAUUAAAGAAUUUCGGUCAUCGAUGGGGAUGCGUUCCAUUAGGUUGUUGGCGGGGUAACGGCCCACCAAGCCUUCGAUGGAUAGGGGUUCUGAGAGGAAGGUCCCCCACAUUGGAACUGAGACACGGUCCAA